AGUUGUUUAGAUAAGUUAAAUUAAUUAAUGUAAUUCAAACUUUUAAAUAAAUAAUUAGUUGAUACAUAUAUAUCGUUAUAAAUUUCAGUUUUUAUUUAUAGGAAAAAGAAUUGGGACGCACUCCCAUUGAACCAGAGGUUUUCAAAAAGACUCAUGUCAGGAAGAAAGAAAAUGAGUCGGAUCCGGAUGUGUGGGUGGAGGAAAGGGCCGAACGAACUUUUGUAAGUUAUUUAAUAUGAAUAAUAUAUAUCAAUAGUGAAUAUAUUUAUGAUAUGUAUAUAUAUUGAUGUCAAUAUUUAUAUUUAAUAUGCAGAAUGACUUUCAUAAGU
rnacentral:lncRNA from 1 species